rnacentral:rRNA from 1 species
UACAGAGGUCUCAAGCGUUUGUUCGGAUUCAUUGGGCGUAAAGGGUGCGUAGGCGGCGCGGUAAGUCGGGUGUGAAAUCUCGGAGCUUAACUCCGAAACUGCAUUCGAUACUGCCGUGCUUGAGGACUGGAGAGGAGACUGGAAUUUACGGUGUAGCGGUGAAAUGCGUAGAUAUCGUAAGGAAGACCAGUGGCGAAGGCGGGUCUCUGGACAGUUCCUGACGCUGAGGAGCGAAAGCGUGGGGAGCAAACAGG